GGAUGAGAAUCUUCCACAAUGGACGAAAGUCUGAUGGAGCGACAUCGCGUGACUGAUGAAGGGCUUCGGUCUGUAAAGGUCUUUUAUUAGGGAAGAAGUUUAUUGACGGUACCUAAUGAAUAAGGGGUUGCUAAACUCGUGCCAGCAGCAGCGGUAAUACGAGUACCCCGAGCGUUAUCCGGAAUUAUUGGGCGUAAAGGAUGUGUAGGUGGUUAUGUUAGUCGUGUGUUAAAGCCCGGAGCUCAACUUC
rnacentral:rRNA from 1 species